rnacentral:lncRNA from 1 species
CUGUAAUCCCAGCACUCUUGGAGGCUGAGGCAGAAGGAUGAUUGAACUUGGGUCCUUGUGCUUUCGAAGCAAGCGGCGGAACCACUGAGCUAAAUCCCCGGCCCUAUGACCCGUUUUUGACAAGAUUUCCUGGGUGUCGUCUGGGUGCCUGGCCCAGUUCCAGCAGAGGGAUGAAGAGGAAGAACACUGUCCCUCCAGAGCAGUCACAGUGCACUCUGUGCUACAGGGGCAGCAUGUUCCUUCAGGCAAAUGUGCAUAUCAGUGGCUCAAUAAAUAGGAAUGCAGUUAAAUGAGGCACAGACAGCAGGAUAAUAAAAAGAAAUUAGUGACUUCCACAAAGGGAGCAGCACAGCAGCUCACAGGUGUGUGGUGAUGUGGAACUAGUUCCACGUUCUAAUUGUCUAGUGAGCUCCCUGCUCAAGUCAAAUUCUGGACACAGACUGCAGCUGCUUUCUCUCAUAUGUGGUGGAGUGGUGUUAGAGAGGUAGAAAGUGAUUUGGAUUUAACCCAGCACAGACUGGUUAUGAGAAAAGAGAGAGCAUUUUGCAUUUCUUGCCCCAAAGCCUGUCAGUGCUAUCAACCUGGCUAUACUCCAAGAAUGAUGUCACCUACAGUUGUCCAAUUUGCACAUCACUCCCUCAAAUCAAAACACCACACCUGGCUGAAAUUACUUUCUUGAUUAAGCAUUUUAGGACUUUUUUUUUUUUUUUAGUGGCAGUGGUGGUGAUGGAGCCAGAGAGCACUGAAUUAGGUCCUCAGUCCUUUCUACUUUUUAAAUUUUAAUUUGAGACAACAUCUUGAUAAAUUGCUCAAGCUGGCCUUAAAUUUUUGACC